rnacentral:lncRNA from 1 species
GAUACAAUAGACAGGUACAUUAGAGGGGAAACAAUAGAAAGAAUAGAGGGACAACUUUAGAGCGAGAGAGAGAGGAGAGGCGCAUGAAGAGGUUUAGAGAGAGAGAGGAGAGAGACAGGAAGAGGUAUAGAGAGAGGAGAGAGAGGAGAGAGACAGGAAGAGGUAUAGAGAGAGGAGAGAGAGGAGAGAGGUUUGAGAGAA